GUCAUCUUCAAUUUCGACCUUCACUUCCUCUUUUUUAAGCCCUGGAAGAUCUGCCUUGAAGAUAUGGGCUUCUGGUGUCUCUUUCCAAUCAAUGCGGGUGUUGACAAAGGCUGAAUUUUCACGAGAAAGGAGAGAAUUUGAGGUGGAAGUGAAAGGGAAGUCUUUGAGUGGAUCCCAAACGUCGAAUGCAGAGACUAGGUCGAAAAUGCUGUUGGCUCGUCGGUUGUAAAAGAAGCUUGGAAUUGUUGCCAUCUUUCACUUCUUUCUUCAGAGAAUUAAUCUUCGUUUACUUGCUGCUAUUGUUUUGAUUGCUUCUUCUUGUUCUUGAUUUUUAUGUGCUAGAGGCGGGACAGGUCGGGUAUUUAUAAGUAAAGGAGGCAUCUGGUUUGUUCUGGACGAUCGAGUAGUACGCUGAACCAGGAGGAUUCUGGGUCCAACCAACAUCAGAUAAGAUUGAAGAACUUUCUCGUAAAUUCCUGAGUCCUCGGUUGUGAAUUGAAAAUGUGUGGAUUUUAUAUUCAAUUGGGUUUGAUUUUUUUAAUGGGCUGAAGCCUUUGUUUUCCUAUUUUUUUCAUGGGCCAGUCUACUGUUAUCAUUGUUUUCUUUUUCUUGCCUUAAAAGAUUUUUAGCUUAUUUUUACAUUUUCAAAAUAUUAUUUUAAUGUAUUUUAGAUAAAAAAAAAUACUUAAAAAAUCAAAUGCUAUCACAAUAAUAAACAGACUUUUAAUACACGAAGGUCUUGUAAAUGAAUAAAAGACUUAAAUCAUGAAAAUAAGAAUUUAAUAUAUAGACAUUACUUAGAAAAUAAAUAAUUUCGUCCUCUAAUUAUUUAUUUAUAUAUAUUAAUGAUUGAUUGAUAAUCACAUGUAAAAGUUUAAAACUAUCUAUUAUUCUUUUAAUCAGAACCUUGUAUAAAUAAAAAAUGACCGAUUAUUUACAGCAUUAAAAACUCACUUAAUAUUGUGAUAAUUUUUACUUUUAAAAAAUAAUUUUUUAUAAUUUUAAUAUAUUAAUAUAAAAAAAUAUUAUUUUAAUAUAUUUUCAAAUAUAUAACCAACACUCCAUAUUAAAAAAUUCAAGGAACUAGUUGCAUAAUAGCUUCGAUGUUAUGCUGAGCAGCUCAAAACUUAAAAACUAAUGGUCAUUGACUGAAAAUUCUCAGCUCUUUGUUAUCCUGGGAAAUUCAAUAACUUCAAUGUUGCGUGCUUGAAAUCUAGGGGUUACCAUGAUCUUUUGGACGGCUGGAUCUGUCACUGCAUCCAUCUAUUAUCAACAAUACGAUCGACGGUCAUUAUCUCACCACGAUAUCAUGGACGAGCAAGCAUGGGGCGUAGAAACGAGAUGUUGCAAGAAACCGAGUUCCAUCUCCAGAUUAUUCAAGCUAGGAAAUUAAAUAGUAUACUCGAUAUGAUGAACAAUUUAUGUUCUGAAUGCAUCCUUCUAACUCUUACGCCUCAAAGAGAUUUACACAGGGAGGGAAGGGAAGAUCAAAAAUCAAGAUACGCACAAAUUUACAAGCAACCAAGAAAAGAUACAGGAAAUUUUAUUAGCAAAACUUUUGAUUACAUUACUCCUCUCUGCAUACUGACGAGAAGACCAAACCUUUCAAUUACUUGUAAAAGAGCACAAUAGAGCAAAAAAGACACACAAUUCUCAAAAGAGGUACUAUCUCGUUCAACCAGAGAUUUCUAUAGCCUUGACAUCAGGUUUCUUGAUCUCUUCUUUAGGCACAGUCACGGUAAGAACUCCAUUUUCCAUAGAAGCCUUGACCUGAUCCAUUUUUGCAUUCUCAGGCAGCCUGAACCUCCUCGAGAACUUGCCACUGCUUCGCUCCACCCUAUGCCAUGUAUCGUUCUUGUCUUCCUUCUCCACAUUCCUUUCUCCGCUAAUCUGAAGCACCCUGUCAUCUUCAAUUUCGACCUUCACUUCCUCUUUUUUAAGCCCUGGAAGAUCUGCCUUGAAGACAUGGGCUUCUGGUGUCUCUUUCCAAUCAACGCGGGUGUUGACAAAGGCUGAGUUUUCACGAGAAAGGAGAGAAUUUGAGGUGGAAGUGAAAGGGAACUCUUUGAGUGGAUCCCAAAUGUCGAAUUCGGAGAAUGUGUCGAAGAUGCUGCCGCCUCGGCGGUUGUUAAAGUAUCUCGGAAUCAUUGCCAUCCUUCUUC
rnacentral:lncRNA from 1 species